AUCUAUGGCCAUCCCACCCUGAACAAGCCCGAUCCCGUCUGAUCUCAGAAGCUAAGCAGGGUUGGGCCUGGUUAGUACUUGGAUGGGAGACCACCUAGGAAGACCAGGUGCUGUAGGCA
rnacentral:rRNA from 1 species